rnacentral:rRNA from 1 species
AGCGAAAUGCGAUAAGUGGUGUGAAUUGCAGAAUCCCGCGAACCAUCGAGUCUUUGAACGCAAGUUGCGCCCGAGGCCAUCAGGCUAAGGGCACGCCUGCCUGGGCGUCGUGUGCUGCGUCUCUCCUGAUAAUGCUUGAUUGGCAUGCGGCUAGUCUGUCAUUGUGA